UCCUACGGGGCGCAGCAGUGGGGAAUAUUGCACAAUGGGGGAAACCCUGAUGCAGCGACGCCGCGUGAGUGAAGAAGUAUUUCGGUAUGUAAAUCUCUAUCAGCAGGGAAGAAAAAAGACGGUACCUGACUAAGAAGCCCCGGCUAACUACGUGCCAGCAGCCGCGGUAAUACGUAGGGGGCAAGCGUUAUCCGGAUUUAUUGGGUUUAAAGGGUGCGCAGGCGGCACGGCAAGCCGGCGGUCAAAUCGCGGGACUCAACCCAGCCCAGCCGGCGGAACUGCCGGGCUAGAGUGGGCGAGAAGUG
rnacentral:rRNA from 1 species